rnacentral:lncRNA from 1 species
UGAAACCAUAUAAACAUACUAUGUUUUAGGGCCUGUGUAUUCUAGCUUUAUGGACUUCUCCAGAAGCAUUCUGAUGGCUGCUGCUAGAAUCCUGAAUUUAGGAAGGAUGUGGUCAGAAGAUGAUGAUUUAUGGUGCUGAAGAUGGAUUCACAAGUUCACAAGUAACGCAGAUGCCAUUGGGAGCAAGAGAGCAUCUCCGGAGAAGGUUCAGCCCAAGGAAAAGAGAAAAAAGUGAGAUCUGCUUUCUCCCAGCCAUAAAUGAGAUUUUGAGAGCAGGAAGCAGGCAAUGACCUGUCGUUCUGAUAAAAAUUCACUCAGGGAGCGGCUUACUGUCAUAUUCCAGUAAGUUUGCCUGGAGGAUGUCUGUGUUUGAACUUAUACGAUGCCUUCAGCCUCCUCUUAGUUAUGUGACAUCUGUGCUCGGGUGGCUUUGCAAGCCAGGAAGUUGCCUCAUCAUUGGAGAACUGGGUUCUGUAUAUGGACAGUCAAG